rnacentral:rRNA from 1 species
CGGAGUCUAGCAUGUGCGCGAGUCAUUGGGAUAAAACCUAAAGGCACAAUGAAAGUAAAUGUUUAUCUAGCAUAACUAAGGGAGGAUGAGUUAUUGCUCCGCACUCCCGGGGCGUCUCAUUCUCAUUGCGAGAAGAGGCGCACCAAGAGCGUACACGCUGGGACCCGAAAGAUGGUGAACUAUGCCUGGUCAGGACGAAGUCAGGGGAAACCCUGAUGGAGGUCCGUAGCGAUUCUGACGUGCAAAUCGAUCGUCGGAACUGGGUAUAGGGGCGAAAGACUAAUCGAACCAUCUAGUAGCUGGUUCCCUCCGAAGUUUCCCUCAGGAUAGCUGGCGCUUAUAGCGUACGAGUUUCAUCCGGUAAAGCGAAUGAUUAGAGGCAUUGGGGUCGAAACGGCCUCAACCUAUUCUCAAACUUUAAAUGGGUGAGAUCUUCGGCUUGCUUAAUUCGAAUCAAAGUGCCAAGUGGGCCAUUUUUGGUAAGCAGAACUGGCGCUGUGGGAUGAACCAAACGUUGAGUUAAAGCGCCUAAAUCGACGCUUAUGGGAUACCAUGAAAGGCGUUGGUAACUUAAGACAUCAGGACGGUGGCCAUGGAAGUU